GGGGUUGUGGCUCAGUGGUAGAGCACUUGCCUGACAUGUUUGAGGCACUGGGUUUAAUCCUCAACACCA
rnacentral:tRNA from 1 species